rnacentral:rRNA from 1 species
UACGGGGGGGGCAAGCGUUGUUCGGAAUUACUGGGCGUAAAGGGCUUGUAGGCGGCCAACUAAGUCAGACGUGAAAUCCCUCAGCUUAACUGGGGAACUGCGUCUGAUACUGGAUGGCUUGAGUUUGGGAGAGGGAUGCGGAAUUCCAGGUGUAGCGGUGAAAUGCGCAGAUAUCAGGAGGAACACCGGUGGCGAAGGCGGGUCUCUGGGCCGAUACUGACGCUGAGGAGCGAAAGCGUGGGGAGCGAACAGG